UACGUAGGGGGCAAGCGUUGUCCGGAUUUAUUGGGCGUAAAGAGCGUGUAGGCGGCUUCACAGGUCCGCUGUGAAAACUCGAGGCUCAACCUCGAGCUGUCGGUGGAAACCGUGUGGCUAGAGUCCGGAAGAGGAGAGUGGAAUUCCCGGUGUAGCGGUGAAAUGCGCAGAUAUCGGGAGGAACACCAGUGGCGAAGGCGGCUUCCUGGCCUGUUCUUGACGCUGAGGCGCGAAAGCUAGGGUAGCAAACAGG
rnacentral:rRNA from 1 species